GCUAAGAUGCCCGAGUGGUCUAAGGGGGCGGACUUAAGACCCGCUGACGCAAGUCUCGUGGGUUCAAACCCCACUCUUAGCA
rnacentral:tRNA from 1 species